rnacentral:tRNA from 1 species
GAAGGUAUAGCUUAGUACUAGAGCACAUGCCUAGCAUGCAUGAGGUCCUGGGUUCAAUCCCCAGUACCUCCA